ACUAAGUGGGACUUCAAAUACUUCCUUUUUACUUAGCACUGCAUCACUAUCUUCCUAAUACUUACAUUCAAACUUCGCCUGUGGAAUUUGUACAAUUACUUGACAACCUAAAUCACAUUAAUUGUUAAAUUAAUGGAUCAAUUAUGCUAGAGGCCUGAUGCAAAAUCUGAUGCUUAUUCAAACACAAAAAUAAACAUCCCCUUAACAAAACCUUUGCAGAUUAUGGAUCUGAAAUUCAUUGAAAUGCCAAUCAAAAGAAAGAGACCUUUCGGUAAAUGAGCUAAGCAGAUGUCUAAAAUCAUGCAAUACUUCCUCAAACCCAAAUGCUAAAAGAAGGAAGAAAUCCAUGGUGGCCAGCAUUGCUCAGCAUAUACACAUCCCACAAUGGGAGUACUAAAAUUACAGCAUAUGUUAUGAUAUAUCAGUUUGCAUUGAAAUCAUCAGAAUGCUAUAAUGUCAUCAACUUAAUAUCAAAGAAGACAAAAAGGGAAAAAAAUUUAAUUUAAUUUAGAAAAAUGCUCAUUGCAA
rnacentral:misc_RNA from 1 species